GACGAACGCUGGCGGCGUGCCUAAUACAUGCAAGUUGAGCGCUGAAGGUUGGUACUUGUACCAACUGGAUGAGCAGCGAACGGGUGAGUAACGCGUGGGGAAUCUGCCUUUGAGCGGGGGACAACAUUUGGAAACGAAUGCUAAUACCGCAUAAAAACUUUAAACACAAGUUUUAAGUUUGAAAGAUGCAAUUGCAUCACUCAAAGAUGAUCCCGCGUUGUAUUAGCUAGUUGGUGAGGUAAAGGCUCACCAAGGCGAUGAUACAUAGCCGACCUGAGAGGGUGAUCGGCCACAUUGGGACUGAGACACGGCCCAAACUCCUACGGGAGGCAGCAGUAGGGAAUCUUCGGCAAUGGACGAAAGUCUGACCGAGCAACGCCGCGUGAGUGAAGAAGGUUUUCGGAUCGUAAAACUCUGUUGGUAGAGAAGAACGUUGGUGAGAGUGGAAAGCUCAUCAAGUUACGGUAACUACCCAGAAAGGGACGGCUAACUACGUG
rnacentral:rRNA from 1 species